CAUCUUAGUGGCGGACGGGUGAGUAACGCGUGGGGAACCUGCCCUGUACAGGGGGAUAACACUUAGAAAUAGGUGCUAAUACCGCAUAAGCGCACAGUGUCGCAUGAUACAGUGUGAAAAACUCCGGUGGUACAGGAUGGACCCGCGUCUGAUUAGCUGGUUGGCGGGGUAACGGCCCACCGGGGCGACGAUCAGUAGGGGUUCUGAGAGGAAGGUCCCCCACAUUGGAACUGAGACACGGUCCAAACUCCUACGGGAGGCAGCAG
rnacentral:rRNA from 1 species